CCUACGGGAGGCAGCAGUGGGGAAUUUUCCGCAAUGGGCGAAAGCCUGACGGAGCAACGCCGCGUGAGGGAUGAAGGCCUCUGGGCUGUAAACCUCUUUUUUCAAGGAAGAAGAUCUGACGGUACUUGAAGAAUAAGCCACGGCUAAUUCCGCGCCAGCAGCCGCGGUAAUACGGGAGUGGCAAGCGUUAUCCGGAAUUAUUGGGCGUAAAGCGUCCGCAGGCGGCCUUGAAAGUCUGUCGUUAAAGCGUGGAGCUUAACUCCAUUUAAGCGAUGGAAACUACAAGGCUAGAGUGUGGUAGGGGCAGAGGGAAUUCCCGGUGUAGCGGUGAAAUGCGUAGAUAUCGGGAAGAACACCAGUGGCGAAGGCGCUCUGCUGGGCCAUAACCGACGCUCAUGGACGAAAGCCAGGGGAGCGAAAGGGAUUAGAUACCCCUGUAGUCCUGGCCGUAAACGAUGAACACUAGGUGUCGGGGGAAUCGACCCCCUCGGUGUCGUAGCCAACGCGUUAAGUGUUCCGCC
rnacentral:rRNA from 1 species